GGAGAGCCUUGAUGAAGAAGCAGGAACAACACUGCUUUGAAGAGCUGUGAGUGAGAAAACCACCCAGAAGGUGAUGUACACUACAGCCAAGAAUGACAGAGGAAUUGUUCAUUACAAGGCUUUGUUUCAGCUAAGAGGAAACCAGAGGAUGUAUUUCAAGAGCAUUCCACAUGAUGAACCAAAGCACAGCCAGUCAGAGGAGGGGGAGAGGUUGCAAAGAUCAGAGGAACCUGAGAUGAUUUAAAGGAUCACUCUUUGGACGUGAAUACUUCUCUGGGAACCCGCUGGAGAGCACCAACCAUCCCUGCCUGCAGUUCCAGAGGUCCUCACAGUGGGAACCCAGUGGUGUGCAGAUGUAGUGUGCACCCAAAUCUUUACUCCUCCUAAUGCAUUCAGGAUAUGGCUGUGGAAUUGCCAUGAAGAGAAAGCCAUUCUGCAGACCAAAGUGUGGCUCUCAGAACAUGCCUCCAUGUCCUCUGUUCAAAUGUAGAUGUUGGGAACACACUGAAGGCAGAAGCAAGUGUCUAAAUGACCUUAAAAACAAAUGCUUCAGUAAAGAUCUAGGAAUUGGACAGAUUAGCUGUACAAAGAACACCAAGGCUAAAAGAAAAUGACAAUAAGUGACUCAGAAAAAAAAGUAAAGUGUACUGUAACUGUAUCACAGAUAAAGACACAGCAGCUGCUAGAAGAGGAAUGGAUGGGACAAAUAGACACUGCAUUGGCACACUGCAUGCAAUUCUUAAUGCAAGCAGCCAGCCAGAGAUUAAAGCUUUGUAGAUUACUCCAGAUAACUAGAGAACCUGCAUUUUUCUUGCUCUGAUUGCUCUGCAAGCUUUUGUUCAUAAGAAUGGACAAGUUAUUAUUUUCUUGCCCACAACAAAAGUUGUCUCAGCCACAGUAAAAGUUUUUACUUUCUCAGUACAAGGAGAAAAGGAGUUCCUGGCCAAGGAGUUCUCUUGGCCAGGGACUGCAAAGACUCUUUCUGACUCUUUUCCCAUCCCACAAUGUUGCCCUUGCUGCUUUUGUAGGCUUCUCCUAGAAGCUUUCUCACACCACCCAGCUCUCCCUCCCCACACAAUCUCACACUCACACAUGCAGAGACACCUGCUCAGCAAAAUUUCUAUUUCCAAGUGCUUUGAAAUGCCUGACUUGCCUUUGCCUUUCAUGUAGAAAUAGUGAUGGGUGGUUAAAGAGUACUAUUUGCCUUCUCACUUUCAGGGAAGAAUUUAAUGGCUUCUCAUAAUCACUUUAUAUAACCUUCAGAAAGUUGUAAUGCUGACUGCAAUAGCAGAUAAAGUUGACCUUGUCUGAGAUAUAAGGAUAUCUGAUAGUGCAGAAUUUCACUACAUUCAUCUGUCUAAACAUGCAGAUAGGUAUCAAGUGGGAUCUACAAAAAUGCUGGCACCUGCCUUACUUUACAAAGCUACCCCUGAGGACCUGAUUCAAAGCCAUUGUAGUCACAGAGAAAUUACUAUUGACUUUAUUAGGAUUCAGUUGAGAUUAAUGUUGCACACUUCUUUCCUGCCCUUUGCUGUCUCUGUUCCUGUGAUUUGAAUUGUUCCCUCAAGGCAUUACCAAAAAAAAAAAAAAGGGAUGGAAAUGUUAGCAGCAAUGCAUGGGAAGUUGAACACUUGUCCUUCUCCUUUUCACAGUAUCUGUUCAAUACAAAAAGAAAGAUACUGUUUUAAAACUUAGAAUUGUUUUGUCCAUACCUUUUAAAUGCUGUUACAUCUUUUAAAAAUAUCUAAGCCAAUAGUGAAUUAUUCCAACUUGUUGCAAAUGGAAUAAACAUUUAUGCCACUUA